ensembl:lncRNA
GUAUAGGGGUGUUUGUAGGGGUGUGUGUGUGUGUAGCGGGGUGUGUGUGUAGGGGUGUGUGUUUGUGUAUAGGGGUGUGUGUAGGGGUGUGUGUGUGUAGCGGUGUGUGUGUGUAGUGGUGUGUGUGUAGGGGUGUGUGUGUUUGUGUAUAGGGGUGUGUGUGUGUAGCGGUGUGUGUGUGUGUGUGUAGUGGUGAAUGUGUAGUGGUGUGUGUAUGUGUAGUGGUGUAUGUGUAGUGGUGUGUGUUUGUAGUGGUGUGUGUGUAGUGGUGUAUGUGUAGUGGUGUGUAUGUGUAGUGGUGUAUGUGUAGUGGUGUGUGUGUGUAGUGGUGUCUGUGUUUGUGUAUAGGGGUGUGUGUAGUGGUGUAUCGGUGUGUGUGUGUAUAGGGGUGUGUGUGUAGGGGUGUGUGUGUAGCGGUGUGUGUGUAGCGGUGUGUGUGUGUAGGGGUGUGUGUGGUGGUGGUGUGUGUGUAGCGGUGUGUGUGUGUAGUGGUGUGUGUGUAGUGGUGUGUGUGUAGGGGUGUGUGUGUGUAGUGGUGUGUGUGUAGGGGUGUGUGUGUAGUGGUGUGUGUGUAGGUGUGUGUAGUGGUGUGUGUGUGUAGUGGUGUGUGUGUAGGGGUGUGUGUGUAGUGGUGUGUGUGUAGAGGUGUGUGUGUGUAGGUGUGUGUAGUGUGUGUGUAGGGGUGUGUGUGUAGUGGUGUGUGUGUAGGGGUGUGUGUGUAGGUGUGUGUGUAGUGGUGUAGGUGUGUAUAGUGGUGUGUGUGUAGUGGUGUGUGUGUAGGGGUGUGUGUGUAGUUGUGUGUAGUGGUGUAGGUGUGUGUAUAGUGGUGUGUGUGUAGUGGUGUGUGUGUAGGGGUGUGUCUGUAGUGGUGUCUGUGUAGGGGUGUGUGUGUAGUGGUGUGUGUGUAGGUGUGUGUGUAGUGUGUGUGUGUGUGUGUGUGUAG